GCCGGGGCGUCCCCCGCGGGAGCCCGCAGCCACCCGGGACGCGCAUCCAGACGUGGCGCUUCGGACCGGGCACGCUGCGCCCGGGGGCUCGGCGGACCCCGCGUAGCCGCCGCUUCGGAGCUUGUGCGGCGCGGGCUGGCCAGCGGGGCGGCCAGGGCCCGGCCCGCCUCCCCAGCGCCCGCCCGGCUUCUCCCCCUGGCGGUGGGAGCCUCGGCGGCCGCUGGCGACACUAGGCGCACUGAAGCCCGAGCCGAGCCGAGCCCGAGCCGCCGCCGCCGCCGCCGCUGCUGCGCACCGCUCCCGGGCUCCCUCCCAGCGCGCCGGCCGGGGUGUGGGGGGCGGCGGGCCGGAGGGGCGAGGGCGGGCCAGGGGGCGCACACGGGGGUUGGCGCGGAAGACAGGACCCUCAGCCUCGAGGGAGCCCCUAGGUGACCAGGCAAAAUGGCAGUUCCUUCCAGCUGGUCCUCAGAUGGGCACAUCUAUUAGCCUCUGCUCUUGUAAGAAGUUAGCUGCAGAACCCACAUGUGAAUCCUUGUAGGACUCUGGAGAAGAUCAAAUGGGAGCUUAGAUGUGGAAGCUCUUUGGAAACCAAGAAACACUCUGAAAAUGAAAAGGUCUUUCCCCCAAAUGUGAUAAGAAUACAUAGCUACAGAGGGAGGAGCCAAGAUGGCCGAAUAGGAACAGCUCCAGUCUACAGCUCCCAGCCUGAGGGACGCAGAAGAUGGGUGAUUUCUGCAUUUCCAUCUGAGGUGGAAGAGUAAACUGUUCCUGUUUCUCCAUCUUGACAGGAAGCAGAAGUUCUCCUUAGCUGAUUUUUCUUCUUGCCUUAUACUGGGUUCUUUAACACCAGAACAAAAAUAAAUAAAUAAAAGAAUCUUCCAGAAAUUCAUGAAGAGACUUCAGGUCAGGAAAGCCUGAACUUUCUCAUCCAACACCCGUUCAAGUCGGAGGAUGCUGAUUAAUUCAUGAUGGAAAGGUAUCAAUUUCACAGCCCAGACCUCUACAUUCUUGAAAUGCUCUUCUCAUGGGAGACAUUAAAUAAGCUUUGAAUUAACUGUAAGUAAAUAAAUAUUCAAUUAUUUGAAUAGCACUAUAUUCUGUUUCAUUAAAAAUAUUUCUUACUUGAUUUUUCUCACCAAUAAAAGUAUUCAAAAAUGUUUAAUUCAAUCAUCAUCACAUCAAGAAUUACGAUAUUAUCUCCGAAUUAUAUAAGUGAUUUUCUGGUCAUGCACAUACCAGUUGUUCUUACUCUAUAUAAAUGUACUUUUUUGUUAAAAUAUAAUCAUUUAGUUUAAAAUUGAGAUAUCCUUGUUACUGGAGAAUUUCAAAUAUAUUUAACAACAACAAUAAAAAGCUUAAAUAUAAAUA
rnacentral:lncRNA from 1 species